GAUGAACGCUGGCGGCGUGCCUAAUACAUGCCAGUCGAGCGAACAGAUAAGGAGCUUGCUCCUUUGACGUUAGCGGCGGACGGGUGAGUAACACGUGGGUAACCUACCUAUAAGACUGGAAUAACUCCGGGAAACCGGGGCUAAUGCCGGAUAACAUUUAGAACCGCAUGGUUCUAAAGUGAAAGAUGGUUUUACUAUCACUUAUAGAUGGACCCGCGCCGUAUUAGCUAGUUGGUAAGGUAACGGCUUACCAAGGCAACGAUACGUAGCCGACCUGAGAGGGUGAUCGGCCACACUGGAACUGAGACACGUUCCAGACUCCUACGGGAGGCAGCAGUAGGGAAUCUUCCGCAAUGGGCGAAAGCCUGACGGAGCAACGCCGCGUGAGUGAUGAAGGUCUUCGGAUCGUAAAACUCUGUUAUUAGGGAAGAACAAAUGUGUAAGUAACUGUGCACGUCUUGACGGUACCUAAUCAGAAAGCCACGGCUAACUACGUG
rnacentral:rRNA from 1 species